UAAAGUUUCUGAUGUGAAAGCCCCCGGCUCAACCGGGGAGGGUCAUUGGAAACUGGGAAACUUGAGUGCAGAAGAGGAGAGUGGAAUUCCACGUGUAGCGGUGAAAUGCGUAGAGAUGUGGAGGAACACCAGUGGCGAAGGCGACUCUCUGGUCUGUAACUGACGCUGAGGAGCGAAAGCGUGGGGAGCGAACAGGAUUAGAUACCCUGGUAGUCCACGCCGUAAACGAUGAGUGCUAAGUGUUAGGGGGUUUCCGCCCCUUAGUGCUGCAGCUAACGCAUUAAGCACUCCGCCUGGGGAGUACGGUCGCAAGACUGAAACUCAAAGGAAUUGACGGGGGCCCGCACAAGCGGUGGAGCAUGUGGUUUAAUUCGAAGCAACGCGAAGAACCUUACCAGGUCUUGACAUCCUCUGACAACCCUAGAGAUAGGGCUUUCCCUUCGGGGACAGAGUGACAGGUGGUGCAUGGUUGUCGUCAGCUCGUGUCGUGAGAUGUUGGGUUAAGUCCCGCAACGAGCGCAACCCUUGAUCUUAGUUGCCAGCAUUCAGUUGGGCACUCUAAGGUGACUGCCGGUGACAAACCGGAGGAAGGUGGGGAUGACGUCAAAUCAUCAUGCCCCUUAUGACCUGGGCUACACACGUGCUACAAUGGACAGAACAAAGGGCUGCAAGACCGCAAGGUUUAGCCAAUCCCAUAAAUCUGUUCUCAGUUCGGAUCGCAGUCUGCAACUCGACUGCGUGAAGCUGGAAUCGCUAGUAAUCGCGGAUCAGCAUGCCGCGGUGAAUAACGUUUCCCCGGGCCUUGGA
rnacentral:rRNA from 1 species